rnacentral:rRNA from 1 species
UACGUAGGGUGCGAGCGUUGUCCGGAAUUAUUGGGCGUAAAGAGCUUGUAGGCGGUUUGUCGCGUCUGCCGUGAAAAUCCGGGGCUCAACCCCGGACUUGCGGUGGGUACGGGCAGACUAGAGUGUGGUAGGGGAGAGUGGAAUUCCUGGUGUAGCGGUGAAAUGCGUAGAUAUCAGGAGGAAUACCGGUGGCGAAAGCGACUCUCUGGACGGCAACUGACGCUGAGGCACGAAAGCGUGGGGAGCAAACAGG